UAACCUGCCUUAUAGUGGGGGAUAGCCUUUCGAAAGGAAGAUUAAUACCGCAUAAGAUUGUAGUAUCGCAUGAUAUAGCAAUUAAAGGAGCAAUCCGCUAUAAGAUGGACCCGCGUCGCAUUAGCUAGUUGGUGAGGUGAUGGCUCACCAAGGCGACGAUGCGUAGCCGACCUGAGAGGAUGACCAGCCACACUGGAACUGAGACACGGUCCAGACUCCUACGGGAGGCAGCAUG
rnacentral:rRNA from 1 species